rnacentral:rRNA from 1 species
GACGAACGCUGGCGGCGUGCUUAACACAUACAAGUCGAGCGGUAAGGCCCUUUCGGGGGUACACGAGCGGCGAACGGGUGAGUAACACGUGGGUGACCUGCCUUUAGCUCUGGGAUAAGCCUGGGAAACCGGGUCUAAUACCGGAUAUGACUCCGCGGCGCAUGUUGUGGGGUGGAAAGCCUUGUGCGGCUGGAGAUGGGCCCGCGGCCUAUCAGCUUGUUGGUGGGGUGAUGGCCUACCAAGGCGACGACGGGUAGCCGGCCUGAGAGGGCGACCGGCCGACACUGGGACUGAGACACGGCCCAGACUCCUACGGGAGGCAGCAGUGGGGAAUCUUGCGCAAUGGGCGAAAGCCUGACGCAGCGACGCC